rnacentral:piRNA from 1 species
UGGCAAACUGGGGUCCUGAGAAUAGAG